rnacentral:lncRNA from 1 species
GACUUUUUUCGAAAAUAACCCUGUGAAAUUUUGUAAUUGGCAAAAUAACCCUCUGAAAAUUUUAUUUGUGAAACUAACCCUCCUCUCGCCACCUCAGCCGCCACCUCAGCAUUUCUCGUAAAGACGGUGACUCAUUCACCGUCUUUACAAAAAACACUUGAAGAUGGCAAAUGGUUAACCGUCUUCUCUAGGCGUGGACCCUUCACCGCCUUCUCAGCAAUUCCCCUCGUAUCAGCGAAUUCGACGAAAAGACGGUGACUCGUUUACCGUCUUAACAAAGACGGUGAAUCGUCUACCGCCUUAUCUAGGCGUACACCAUUCGCCGCCUUCUCUGUUGCCCAAAUAAGACGGUGACUUGUUCACCGUCUUUACUUAAUCUUGAAGACGGUAAGUAGUUCACCGUCUUCUCUAGGCGUGGAACCUCCACCGCCUUCUCAGCAAUUCCCCGCGUAUCACCGCUUUCUCAGCAAUUCGCCGCAGAAGACGGUGAUUCGUUUAUCUCUUUAAGAAAGACGGUGAUUCGUUUACCUCUUUAAACCAUUCACCGCC